AUUGAACGCUGGCGGCAGGCCUAACACAUGCAAGUCGAACGAGUGGCGGACGGGUGAGUAAUGUCUGGGAAACUGCCCGAUGGAGGGGGAUAACUACUGGAAACGGUAGCUAAUACCGCAUACCAUCGGAUGUGCCCAGAUGGGAUUAGCUUGUAGGUGAGGUAACGGCUCACCUAGGCGACGAUCCCUAGCUGGGCGGAGCUGAUGACGAGCAACACUGGCACUGAGACACGGUCCAGACUUCUACGGGAGGCAGCAGUGGGGAAUAUUGAACAAUGGGUGCAAGCCUGCUGCAGCAAUGCCUGGUGUAUUAAGAAGGCCUUCGGGUUGGAAAGUACUUUCAGCGGGGAGGCGUUACCCGCAGAAGAAGCACCGGCUAACUCCGUGCCAGCAGCCGCGGUAAUAC
rnacentral:rRNA from 1 species